rnacentral:rRNA from 1 species
UGGGGAAUCUUGGACAAUGGGGGCAACCCUGAUCCAGCCAUGCCGCGUGGGUGAUGAAGGCCUUAGGGUCGUAAAGCCCUUUCGCCGGGGAAGAUAAUGACGGUACCCGGUAAAGAAGCCCCGGCUAACUCCGUGCCAGCAGCCGCGGUAAUACGGAGGGGGCUAGCGUUGUUCAGAAUGACUGGGCGUAAAGCGCGCGUAGGCGGAUCAGGAAGUUGGGGGUGAAAUCCCGGGGCUCAACCUCGGAAUGGCCUUCAAGACUCCUGGUCUUGAGUUCGAGAGAGGUGAGUGGAAUUCCGAGUGUAGAGGUGAAAUUCGUAGAUAUUCGGAGGAACACCAGUGGCGAAGGCGGCUCACUGGCUCGACACUGACGCUGAGGUGCGAAAGCGUGGGGAGCAAACAGGAUUAGAUACCCCUGGUAGUCCACGCCGUAAAACGAUGAAUGCCAGACGUCGGGGGGCUUGCCCUUCGGUGUCACACCUAACGGAUUAAGGCAUUCCGCCUGGGGGAGUACGGUCGCAAGAUUAAAACUUAAAGGAAUUGACGGGGUCAUAGCUGUUUCCU